GAUCAUGGCUCAGGAUGAACGCUAGCGGCAGGCUUAACAGAUGCAAGUCGAGGGGCAGCAUGAAAGUAGCAAUACUUUUGAUGGCGACCGGCGGACGGGUGCGUAACGCGUAUGCAACCUACCCUUUACAGGGGGAUAACACUGAGAAAUCGGUACUAAUACCCCAUAAUAUUCCGGGAGGCAUCUUUCGGNGUUGAAAGCUUUGGUGGUAAAGGAUGGGCAUGCGUUGUAUUAGCUAGUUGGUAAGGUAACGG
rnacentral:rRNA from 1 species